rnacentral:rRNA from 1 species
UACGAAGAGGGCUAGCGUUGCUCGGAAUCACUGGGCGUAAAGGGCGCGUAGGCGGCCGAUCAAGUCGGAGGUGAAAGCCCAGGGCUCAACCCUGGAAUGGCCUUCGAUACUGGUUGGCUCGAGACCGGAAGAGGUAAGUGGAACUGCGAGUGUAGAGGUGAAAUUCGUAGAUAUUCGCAAGAACACCGAUUGCGAAGGCAGCUUACUAAGCUGUAACUGACGCUGAGGCACGAAAGCGUGGGGAUCGAACAGG